rnacentral:misc_RNA from 1 species
UGGCCUUGUACGUGAAAUGCUGCACAAAUCUUCUUCCAACAACGGAUACAAAUAAGUGAGGGUAUAACAACCCAUGAGGCAUUUGCACCAACAUAGUAUGCAUAGUAGUAAUAAGGACUUGCAGCAUAGUUAUCGCCCUCCAAGUAGGAAGUUAUGAAAUACACAGCAGUUCCAUAGAGCUGCCCCAGAGAAAUAGCAAACUGAAGUAUGUAGCUAUAUGACUUCCCCAUAGCAAUUGCAUAUACUGCCAGAAGGCUAGCUGGACCCUCCAAUACUGCAGUCAAUCCUUCUACGGCAACUACUCCAGCAUCCCUUGCUGCAUAUCUUGAAUCACCUUUGCUGUAUUCUUUCCAAACUUCAGCCAGAUAAAAAGGGGUCUUCUCCUUGUAAAACUCGGGAGAGAAAGCAAAAUAUCCUUCAAGAAUUAUGUGCGUGAGACCAGUGAAAGCCCACCAGCACAUAAGCAAUCUAUCAAUUUUUGCUGUUUUGGGUGACCCCCCAGAAAGUACCCAGACGAGGGAGACGACGACAAGGGAAGAGAUUCCAUAGACGCUAAGGAUGGUGGACUGAGAGAGGAGUACAGGUACGUAAUCCGGCAGUUUCAGAUCUCUCGGCACGUAUGGAUGCGGCUGCCCCUCCAUUUUUUUCGUAUCUCUUUUGGGUAUUGC